rnacentral:rRNA from 1 species
UACGAAGGGAGCGAGCGUUGUUCGGAAUCACUGGGCUUAAAGCGUGCGUAGGCGGGUAGGUAAUUCAGAAGUGAAAUCCCUGGGCUUAACCCAGGAAUUGCUUUUGAAACUCCCUGUCUAGAAACCGAGAGAGGUUAGCGGAAUAUCCAGUGUAGAGGUGAAAUUCGCAGAUAUUGGAUGGAACACCAGUGGCGAAGGCGGCUAACUGGCUCGGUAUUGACGCUGAGGCACGAAAGCGUGGGUAGCAAACAGG